rnacentral:rRNA from 1 species
GACGAAGGGGGCUAGCGUUGUUCGGAAUUAUUGGGCGUAAAGGGCGCGUAGGCGGCCAUUCAAGUGACGGGUGAAAGCCCUCGGCUUAACCGAGGAACUGCCUGUCAGACUGGAUGGCUUGAGACCGGGAGAGGUGAGUGGAAUUCCCAGUGUAGCGGUGAAAUGCGUAGAUAUUGGGAGGAACACCAGUGGCGAAGGCGGCUCACUGGACCGGAACUGACGCUGAGGCGCGAAAGCGUGGGGAGCAAGCAGG